UGAGGCUAAGCAGCUUAAUCUAACAGCUCAGAUUUGUGGUUUAUUUAUCGCAUUAGACAUUUUCAUUCUUGUUUUUCCUCUUCUUGAAGUUUUCUUCUUCACAUAGCUUACUCUAUUUUGCCUAGAUGUAUCAUGAAUUAACAAGAACAUCAAUUUAUUGCUGUUUCUUAUUCUUCCCGUCUUUAAUACUGUUAAUCUGUCUCCAAAGUGCUGUUUUUGUCCUUUAACUACUCCGAUUGCUUAUUUGUUGUUUCUCAGUCCUUCAAACCAGCACACAAUUUUGAUCCUCCAUUCCCAUUCAUCUUGGUUUUUUGUCUUUUUAAAAGCUCAGAUUAAAUGAGAUUUGACCUUAACAGCCAAAAACCAAUGUUUUAAGGUCCUUAAACUGGCAACAAUACAGCCAUUUUGUCAAAAACAGUAGCACAGGAGCUACAACAGUGAAGACAAAUGCAUAACAUUAAAGCAAAGCCAUUCAAAGAGAAAUUCUACUGUUCUUAUUAAUCAACUGUUUGAUGUUGCAGCCAAGCCAAUCAAAAGAGAAAUGCAACUAAUCUUAUUAAUUUAGCCUUAAAGUCAUCCACAAAAAAAAGCAACUAUUCUUCUUGAUUUAGCUUCUCUUUCGCUGUAAUUACAAGAAAUACUGAAUUCUAUAGAUCCAGAAACUCAAACUAGUACACAAGUCAGACAUAGAUGCAGAAUGAGAUCCACCAAUUCUCAUUCCCCAGCACGUUAAUUGUAUUAAAUCUGUCCGAAUGAAUGCUUAUUUUUUGGUCGGAACCCAAACACAGCCCCACUCUCACUCUGUCCAGAAACUCAUUUGUUUCUUUUAAGUCCAUAUUUAUAUAAAUUACUUAAUAUUAAAAAAUUAAAAAUUAA
rnacentral:misc_RNA from 1 species